rnacentral:rRNA from 1 species
AGUGAACGCUGGCGGCGUGGCUAAGACAUGCAAGUCGAGCGAUAGAUUCUUUCGGGAAUCGAAAAGCGGCAAACGGGUGCGUAACACGUGAGCAACCUGCCCUAAAGUUGGGGAUAGCCUACCGAAAGGUGGAUUAAUACCGAAUGUGGUCCUUCUUCGCAUGAAGAAGGUACUAAAGCUUGUAACGGCGCUUUAGGAGGGGCUCGCGACCUAUCAGCUUGUUGGUGGGGUAAGGCCUACCAAGGCUAAGACGGGUAACUGGUCUGAGAGGAUGAUCAGUCACACUGGAACUGAGAUACGGUCCAGACACCUACGGGUGGCAGCAGUUUCGAAUCAUCCACAAUGGGCGAAAGCCUGAUGGUGCGACGCCGCGUGAGGGAUGAAGGCCCUAGGGUUGUAAACCUCUGUCAUUAGGGAGCAAUGGCUAAGUUCAUAGCUUAGUUUGAAGUUAACCUAAAGAGGAAGCAGUGGCUAACUC